UACGGAGGGUGCAAGCGUUUAUCCGGAUUCACUGGGUUUAAAGGGUGCGUAGGCGGGCAGGUAAGUCAGGGGUGAAAUCUUCGAGCUUAACUCGGAAACUGCCUUUGAUACUAUCUGUCUUGAAUAUGGUGGAGGUAAGCGGAAUAUGUCAUGUAGCGGUGAAAUGCUUAGAUAUGACAUAGAACACCUAUUGCGAAGGCAGCUUACUACGCCUAUAUUGACGCUGAGGCACGAAAGCGUGGGGAUCAAACAGG
rnacentral:rRNA from 1 species